rnacentral:lncRNA from 1 species
CCAGAUCUUCUGCCCAAGCUGCUAGUUCCUUUUGCCUUUUCUUGGGAUCCUGAUUCACAAUUCAUGAGAACUGAUUCAGAAAAUCCAAUGCUCUAUUGUGAAAUGCAAAGGUACAGCUAUAAAAUCAUUACAUUCAUUGAAUCCAACGGAAUAUCAAUGUGAAAUGCAAAGGUAUAGCUAUAAAAUCAUUACAUUCAUUGAAUCCAACGGAAUAUCAACAGUGGCAUCAUUCUUUUGGCCAAAACCAAGAGUGCUAGCAAUCAUUUGAGGAAAGCGUGAUUUAGUUGCACGAGCAGAUCCACCAUUCU